rnacentral:rRNA from 1 species
GAUGAACGCUGGCGGCGUGCCUAAUACAUGCAAGUAGAACGCUGAAGGAAGGAGCUUGCUCUUUCCGGAUGAGUUGCGAACGGGUGAGUAACGCGUAGGUAACCUGCCUGGUAGCGGGGGAUAACUAUUGGAAACGAUAGCUAAUACCGCAUAACAGUAGAUGUUGCAUGAUAUCUACUUAAAAGGUGCAAUUGCACCACUACCAGAUGGACCUGCGUUGUAUUAGCUAGUUGGUGAGGUAACGGCUCACCAAGGCGACGAUACAUAGCCGACCUGAGAGGGUGAUCGGCCACACUGGGACUGAGACACGGCCCAGACUCCUACGGGAGGCAGCAGUAGGGAAUCUUCGGCAAUGGACGGAAGUCUGACCGAGCAACGCCGCGUGAGUGAAGAAGGUUUUCGGAUCGUAAAGCUCUGUUGUAAGAGAAGAACGAGUGUGAGAGUGGAAAGUGCACACUGUGACGGUAUCUGACCAGAAAGGGACGGCUAACUACGU